AAUGAACGCUGGCGGCGCGCCUAAUACAUGCAAGUCGAGCGAGAAGACGUAGCAAUACGUUUGUAAAGCGGCGAACGGGUGAGGAAUACAUGGGUAACCUACCCUCGAGUGGGGAAUAACUAGCCGAAAGGUUAGCUAAUACCGCGUACGCUCCUUGGACUUCGGUUCAGGGAGGAAAGCGAUACCGUGGGUAUCGCGCUCUUGGUUGGGCUCAUGUCCUAUCAGCUUGUUGGUGAGGAACGGCUCACCAAGGCUUCGACGGGUAGCUGGUCUGAGAGGACGAUCAGCCACACUGGCACUGCGACACGGGCCAGACUCCUACGGGAGGCAGCAGUAAGGAAUAUUGCGCAAUGGGCGAAAGCCUGACGCAGCGACGCCGCGUGGGGGAGUGAAGGGU
rnacentral:rRNA from 1 species